rnacentral:lncRNA from 1 species
CUGCCGUCAAGACUCACCACUUCCCACCUGUACACUGCUGUCUGUCCUCAUUUCAAGUGAAUCACCUUGCGGUCUUCUUAUGCCAGGUUCAGAGCUCAUGCCAGACGCUGUGGAAGGAUUGUUUUUUGACUCUCUAAUACUGUGGAAGAAAAAGAGAUCUUCCAGAUAUCAGAGUUCUCCUGACAGCUGAAGAAGUGAUGGAUGAGCUGGGGUCUCAAUUCAUCAGAACAUCAAGAUUUAUCUGCUUUAUGGCAAGACCCU